GGAGGCCGCUCGGCUGCCUGUCCUGCGCCCAGCUCAGCCCGGACCCAUCGGCCACCUUAAGUAGCCAAGGGGGCAAGGAAAAUGCUGCCAGGGCCCGGGAAUUCGAGUCGGGCCUUGCGAGCCCAGCUGGCUUGGCCCCCGGGGGAAUAGAAGGUCUAGCGUUGGGGUUAGGGGGGAGCUCAGAACACAGGAAGAGUGGGUGAGGGCAGUAGGGACAGGGAAUCCCCCCCAUUCGCAUCACCUGUCACCGCACACAUCCUGCACACCUCCCUCUUCAUCUGUAAUUUGAGUGAGGGGUGAGUGGGGAGGAACGGGGCUUGUCUGGUAGGGUUGAGACUAGAGUCUUGGAAUUUGUGGGAGCAAAUUUCCUCUUCUUGUAAAUUAAAAAAAGAAAAAGGCCAACAAGCUGUCAAAUAAGGCUUGAAGUUGUUGUUAUUAUUAUUAUUGCAAUGAGAAGAUGAACCUUGCUCUGAAUUGAAUCUCAAACUUCCAGCCCUGAUAGGGAUCCUGGGCAUCUGGUGAGAGGUUUCGGGAUUCUGGAUGACAAUGUCUCGGUGCCCUCAAGGCCACUGAUUCCUCGCCACACA
rnacentral:lncRNA from 1 species